rnacentral:rRNA from 1 species
GAUGAACGCUGGCGGCGUGCCUAAUACAUGCAAGUCGAGCGAACAGACGAGGAUCUUGCUCCUCUGACGUUAGCGGCGGACGGGUGAGUAACACGUGGAUAACCUACCUAUAAGACUGGGAUAACUUCGGGAAACCGGAGCUAAUACCGGAUAAUAUAUUGAACCGCAUGGUUCAAUAGUGAAAGACGGUUUUGCUGUCACUUAUAGAUGUAUCCGCGCCGCAUUAGCUAGUUGGUAAGGUAACGGCUUACCAAGGCGACGCUGCGUAGCCGACCUGAGAGGGUGAUCGGCCACACUAGGACUGAGACACGGUCCCGACUCCUACGGGAGGCAGCAGUAGGGAAUCUUCAGCAAUGGGCGAAAGCCUGACGGAGCAACGCCGCGUGAGUGAUGAAGGUCUUCGGCUCGUAAAACUCUGUUAUCAGGGAAGAACAAAUGUGUAAGUAACUAUGCACGUCUUGACGGUACCUAAUCAGAAAGCCACGGCUAACUCCGUG